GGUUCGUGACGUCGGAUAUAAUAAUUAUCGUUAUUCUCCUCGACAUCACAUAUAUAUCUCAAUAUAUAUACACAUUACGACACUGAUACUAGGGGAGUCAGACUGAGAGCACGAAGACUGUCUGACGAACGGCUGAGACUGACCACUUCCACUAACCAUAAUCGUAAAAGAUGAUUAAAAUACGACUGUAUGCAGUAGCCACGCUGACGGUAACACUUUCUUUGGUAAUGGCCGGACAAAUGGACGGGGAAGCGACCGCCAUGUCGUGGGAAGACCCACCAUCAGAAAAGAUAUUCAAACCAGAAUCUGUUGUCGAGUAUUCGAUGUUGACCGAUCCCGACCUUAGUGAAAGACAGAGAUUCGCUACUUUUUGGAACAAACUCAGAGGAACACAAUCUGGCUUCAGUGAAGGAAAAGUUCAUGGACUGUAUAAUAUGCAAGUUCCAUUGAGGUACGAAAUCAUGAACACCAUAAAAAGAGCUCGUCCCACCAAGGGACGCCUGUGUCCACGUGGGCGGGCCCUCAUUGAGUGUUACGACGCUUCAUUUGCCGUGUGGAUUCACCAGCUGAUGAAACAAAAUGGGAGACGAUAACCUACUAAAAACUUACUUCUUUCCUGUUCGCCAACAGAAAGACUAUCUUUUAAAAAGCGUAGAUCUUUGUUUUUCUUUUCUUUUUGUCUAAAAACGUUAACUGUUAAGUGAGGACUCAUUUUCUAUUGAUAAUAGGUAUUUAUAAUUCGUUAUGUUUCCUGGGGUAUUUCCAUUAAUUAAAUUAACUGGCCCAAUCAGUAUAGGUCUGACAUUUCAUCUGAAGCCUAUCGACUUCCAAUUGAUGGAUGGUUUAAUAAUGCCUUUAUUAUAAGCCGGUAUUCGAGAUGUUUACUUCCUGUCAGGCACAUCGGUGACGUUUUGGAUUAUAAAAUAUCAGAGGUCCUAGGUUAUUUAAACGGCAGAAAUGUAGAUAUUAAUAGUAUAUUUUUUGAUGCCAUGUUCAUGAUGUUUAAUCAACUGAACAUUAUUGAUUGGGAACAUUUCGAUGUUUAAGUUUAAUUUUAUGUCACUGCAAUCUUUAAGUAUUCUGUAAAGCGUAAUGCGUUGAGUUUAAUUUUAUGUCACUCCAAUCUCUAAGUAUUCUGUCGAGCGGUCUGUUUGUACUUUAUCUUAGGUGUAUUUCACCCUAUUAUUGCACUUUUAUUUUAUGUAUACAGUUUACCUUUCUAUAUUCCCUAGUAUCGAUAGAAGCGUGUAUACAUCCCAUUCGCCUGGAAACUGGACUAUUGUUAAUUGAUUUUAUAUUAUCAUCAUCAACAACAACAAUCCAGUGUGAAUAUUUUUACUAAGUAUUGUCAAUAUGGAAAUAUAUACACCAUAGUCCAGUGUUCUUAUCAAUCAUUCAGAUUUUCCAUUUUAAUUACCUGGUCAAUUAUUUAAGGCGGAGUCGCAAAGUCUUAUUCAA